rnacentral:rRNA from 1 species
UACAGAGGUUUCAAGCGUUGUUCGGAUUCAUUGGGCGUAAAGGGUGCGUAGGUGGCGCGCUAAGUCAGGUGUGAAAUCUCGGGGCUUAACUCCGAAACUGCAUUUGAUACUGGCGUGCUUGAGGACUGGAGAGGAGACUGGAAUUCAUGGUGUAGCAGUGAAAUGCGUAGAGAUCAUGAGGAAGACCAGUGGCGAAGGCGGGUCUCUGGACAGUUCCUGACACUGAGGCACGAAGGCCAGGGGAGCAAACGGG